AGGAGACUGACCCUGAGAAACAGUUUCUUUAUCAACCUUCUGACAUAGCCAAUAUAUACAAGAAUUUACUAGUCGCUCUACCAAGGCCCCCAUGUCUACGACUUUUGAUUCAAUUCCCCGUUUGAUCCUAUCAGCAAGAUUACUGAAAAAUGUUUCUGACCUAAAGUCUAGCACAACACCCUCCUGUAUUUGCAAACAUCAUGAUCCACCAUCUUUACAUAUUGCCCAACAUUUGCUUCACCAAAACCACUAGUC
rnacentral:lncRNA from 1 species